GCCAGCGUGGUGUAGCGGUUGAGUACUGGACUAUGACUCCGGAGGCCAGGGUUCAAAUCCUGGCUCAGCCA